AGAGAGAGACAUGCGCGCAUAUCAAUAAGCGGAGGAAAAGAAACUAACUAGGAUUCCCUUAGUAACGGCGAGUGAAGCGGGAAGAGCUCAAAUUUGAAAUCUUCAAGGUUCUACCUUGACGAAUUGUAGUUUAAAGAAGUGUUUUCUGUUGGAGUUUUGGUAAAAGUUCUUUGGAAUAGGACAUCAUAGAGGGUGAGAAUCCCGUAUUUGACCAUUAUUUCCAGCUUUGUCGAUACACUUUCAAAGAGUCGGAUUGUUUGGGAAUGCAGUCCAAAAUGGGUGGUAAAUUUCAUCUAAAGCUAAAUAUUGGCGAGAGACCGAUAGCGAACAAGUACCGUGAGGGAAAGAUGAAAAGAACUUUGAAAAGAGAGUUAAACAGUACGUGAAAUUGUCAAAAGGGAAGCGUUUGACACCAGUGUUGUUUUCUCGAAAAUCAAUUAAAAAAGGCAGGAUUUUGUGUUGUAUUGACUUUAUCAGCUUUCUGCACUCCUUUCUUGUCUUUUUUAAUGCACUUUUCGUUUAACAAGUCAACAUCAAUUUCUUUUGUUGUAAAAGGGUCAUUGGAAGGUGGCUUUCUUUUCGGAGAAAGUGUUUAUAGCCUUUGGCCUCUGCAAUCGGAGAGAUUGAGGUCUGCAGCGUAGAUCCUUCGGGGUUAGAUACAUUUGUGCUAAGUUAUAGCCUUUCAUAGACAACUUGUUGACUAUGAUCUGUCAUGUAGCUUACUCGCUUAUGCUAUUUUACCUACGCUUAGGAUGUUGAUGUGAUACUGCGAGCAA
rnacentral:rRNA from 1 species